AUGGAUGGAGAGGAGAAAGCCUAUAGUGGCUGUGAAGUCCCUGGUGCCAUGCAUGUCUAAUUGAUACCUUCUGAUGGUCAGGAAUGUAUUGUAAAAAUAGAACAUGUGCUAAUAUCAGGAAUGAUAAAAGCCAUGUUGAGUGGCCCAGGUCAGUUAGCUGAAAAUAAAACAAAUGAAGUUAAUUUGAGAGAGAGAUUCCUAUCCCUAUAUUACCAAAAAUAUACAUGUUUUUCACAUACAACGUUCACUACAGUCACAGCUCCACUGAGAUUCCAGAAUCCCCAGUUAUACCUGAAAUUGCACUGGAACUUCCUAGAUUGUUAA
rnacentral:lncRNA from 1 species